GACGAAGGAUGCAAGCGUUAUCCGGAUUCAUUGGGUUUAAAAGGGAGCGUAGGUGGCCUUAUAAGUCAGUGGUGAAAUCUCUGGGCUUAACCCAGAAAUUGCCAUUGAUACUGUAGGGCUUGAGUAUAGUUGCCGUUGGCGGAAUAUGACAUGUAGUGGUGAAAUACAUAGAGAUGUCAUAGAACACCGAUUGCGAAGGCAGCUGACGAAACUAUAACUGACACUGAGGCUCGAAAGUGCGGGGAUCAAACAGG
rnacentral:rRNA from 1 species